rnacentral:tRNA from 1 species
GCCCUGGUAGUGCAGCGGCCUAGCACUUAGCCCUGUCACGGCUAUAACCCGGGUUCAAAUCCCGGCCAGGGCG